UACGAAGGGGGCGAGCGUUGUUCGGAUUUACUGGGCGUAAAGGGCGCGCAGGCGGCUUAUUUUGUCAGGCGUGAAAGCCCCGGGCUUAACCUGGGAACUGCGUUUGAUACGGAUGGGCUAGAGUUCGGGAGAGGAGAGUGGAAUUCCCAGUGUAGAGGUGAAAUUCGUAGAUAUUGGGAAGAACACCGGUGGCGAAGGCGGCUCUCUGGACCGAGACUGACGCUGAGGCGCGAAAGCGUGGGUAGCAAACAGG
rnacentral:rRNA from 1 species